GGUGAACGCUGGCGGCGUGCCUAACACAUGCAAGUCGAGCGGUGCAGUUUGAAGCUUCGGUGGAAAGCUGCAUAGCGGCGGACGGGUGAGGAAAACGUAGGAACGUGCCCCUUGGAGUUGGAUAGCCACGGGAAACUGUGGGUAAACCGACAUAGACUCGAGAGAGUAAAGGCCGAAAGGCGCCAAGGGAGCGGCCUGCGACCCAUCAGGUAGUUGGUAGUGUAAAGGACUACCAAGCCGACGACGGGUAGCCGGUCUGAGAGGAUGGCCGGCCACAAGGGCACUGAGAGACGGGCCCUACUCCUACGGGAGGCAGCAGUGGGGGAUUUUGGACAAUGGGCGAAAGCCUGAUCCAGCGACGCCGCGUGGAGGACGAAGCCCUUCGGGGUGUAAAGUUCUUUUCUAUACGAGCAGUGCUAUAUAUAUGGAUAGUAUAUAUAGAGGGAUAGUAGUAUAGGAAUAAGCAACGGCUAACUCCGUG
rnacentral:rRNA from 1 species